rnacentral:rRNA from 1 species
UACGUAGGGUGCGAGCGUUAAUCGGAAUUACUGGGCGUAAAGCGUGCGCAGGCGGUUCGUUAAGUCAGAUGUGAAAGCCCCGGGCUCAACCUGGGAACUGCAUUGAAACUGGCGGGCUUGAGUGUGGCAGAGGGGGGUGGAAUUCCGCGUGUAGCAGUGGAAAUGCGUAGAGAUGCGGAGGAACACCGAUGGCGAAGGCAGCCCCCUGGGCCAACACUGACGCUCAGGCACGAAAGCGUGGGGAGCAAACAGG